GAUGAACGCUGGCGGCGUGCCUAAUACAUGCAAGUCGAGCGAAUGGAUUAAGAGCUUGCUCUUAUGAAGUUAGCGGCGGACGGGUGAGUAACACGUGGGUAACCUGCCCAUAAGACUGGGAUAACUCCGGGAAACCGGGGCUAAUACCGGAUAACAUUUUGAACCGCAUGGUUCGAAAUUGAAAGGCGGCUUCGGCUGUCACUUAUGGAUGGACCCGCGUCGCAUUAGCUAGUUGGUGAGGUAACGGCUCACCAAGGCAACGAUGCGUAGCCGACCUGAGAGGGUGAUCGGCCACACUGGGACUUAGACACGGCCCAGACUCCUACGGGAGGCAGCAGUAGGGAAUCUUCCGCAAUGGACGAAAGUCUGACGGAGCAACGCCGCGUGAGUGACGAAGGCUUUCGGGUCGUAAAACUCUGUUGUUAGGGAAGAACAAGUGCUAGUUGAAUAAGCUGGCACCUUGACGGUACCUAACCAGAAAGCCACGGCUAACUACGUGCCAGCAGCCGCGGUAA
rnacentral:rRNA from 1 species